GACGAACGCUGGCGGCGUGCCUAAUACAUGCAAGUAGAACGCACAGUUUAUACCGUAGCUUGCUACACCAUAGACUGUGAGUUACGAACGGGUGAGUAACGCGUAGGUAACCUGCCUGGUAGCGGGGGAUAACUAUUGGAAACGAUAGCUAAUACCGCAUAAUAUUAAUUAUUGCAUGAUAAUUAAUUGAAAGGUGCAAUUGCACCACUACCAGAUGGACCUGCGUUGUAUUAGCUAGUAGGUGAGGUAACGGCUCACCUAGGCGACGAUACAUAGCCGACCUGAGAGGGUGAUCGGCCACACUGGGACUGGGACACGGCCCAGACUCCUACGGGAGGCAGCAGGAGGGAAUCUUCGGCAAUGGACGAAAGUCUGACCGAGCAACGCCGCGUGAGUGAAGAAGGUUUUCGGAUCGGAAAGCUCUGUUGUAAGAGAAGAACGGGUGUGAGAGUGGAAAGUUCACACUGUGACGGUAUCUUACCAGAAAGGGACGGCUAACUACGUG
rnacentral:rRNA from 1 species